rnacentral:rRNA from 1 species
UAGGGAAUAUUGGGCAAUGGAGGCAACUCUGACCCAGCCAUGCCGCGUGAAGGAUUAAAGUCCUCUGGAUUGUAAACUUCUUUUAUAAGGGAAGAAAUUCUUGAAUUCAUUUAAGAUUGACGGUACCUUAAGAAUAAGCACCGGCUAACUCCGUGCCAGCAGCCGCGGUAAUACGGAGGGUGCAAGCGUUAUCCGGAUUCACUGGGUUUAAAGGGAGCGUAGGUGGUUUAGUAAGUCAGUGGUGAAAGCCCCGUGCUUAACUUGGGAAUUGCCAUUGAUACUGCUAAUCUUGAGAAUGUUUGAAGUGGACGGAAUAUGGCAUGUAGCGGUGAAAUGCUUAGAUAUGCCAUAGAACACCGAUUGUGAAGACAGUUCACUAAGCCAUAUCUGACACUGAGGCUCGAAAGCGUGGGGAGCGAACAG